GUUGGUUCAACUCUUGCUUGAAAUAUAGACAUAUGGUUCUCAACAAGAGAAAUUUUGAAUUUAAAUUCCAUUAUCUUGUAUAAAAAUUCUUUUAAUUCAGUCUUGGAAAAACAGACACAUUUUAUAGAUGCGGCCUGUGAUAUUUUUCUUUGACUUGUGUUUGGCAAGAGUUCACUGAUUUGCUAAUAAUUUUAAAAGAACUGCUUUAAUGGUCUAAUUAUUACAACUUGAUAAUUAGCUCGAGUAGCAUUUCAAAGUGUAAUUGUUAUGAUUUGGCUGGGUUAAUAAGGGUUCUAGAAAAUAGAGUCACAUAGACGCUGGUAUUGUUCCUAUCUUCGCAUUCAUAGUUUUUCUUUGGACCCCAGAGACAAACAGUAAAUAGCUUUUGUUCUUCUGCCACAAUCUACUAUUCCCAAAACAUCACUGAUGGCAAAGCUAUAAUAACUUUCGUAAAAAUUUCCUCUCAAGUUCCUAAGUUUUCAGUCAUUAACAAAAUAGAAAGAAAGAAAAAUGUUAAAGGUACUGAGAAUAGCCCAGUGCUUACAGCUGGUUUCAGCAAUUUCAACUUGCGCAAGACCCCAUGUUUGUGAAAGCAACCCAAGAAUCUUUUGAACAGGAUGUAAUCAACCUCCGAUCUGCUGAGAAACACUGCAAAAAUGACUUCAGCUGCCAAAAAUAAUAAUGUCGUUUACAAGCAGCUCUUCCUAUGUCUAAGGAAGAACUAGCCACACAUGUGAGAUUAUGCUGGCUUCAGAGGAGCAAGCAAGAAAAAGGGCAAACCCUACCUACCCCACCCUAAAAACACAGUAUCAGAACCCACGAGAAGCUGUGGCCCCUUCCAAAGGUGCUGGCAAUAUCGAGGGAGAUUCGUAUCCACAAAAAUCUGAACGAUUACAUGAUCUGAUGCUUCAGAGUCAUCACUGGAAAUUUGGAUCUAACGGAGCUGGAGGUAUCCAGGGAAAUGAUCUUGGGACAUGA
rnacentral:lncRNA from 1 species